rnacentral:lncRNA from 7 species
CUCAAAUUGGAUGGCGCUGCAGCUGGAGGCUUUGUUCGGGGCUGAUCCUGGGGAGCUCUGAACCCAAAGUUUCACAGUGGGAAGGGGGAAAAAAGAAAAGAAAGCCUUUUUUUUUUUUUUUUUUUUUUCCCUACUGUAACAAUGCGAAUGGUAGGAAAUGACAGGACCGAGCGGCUCUAAAGCACUCCAAAAACUGACGGAGCGGGGAUGUCGAUCCAAACAAAACAAAACCAAACCACAAAAAAACACCAACCAACCCCCCCCAAAAAAAACACACCACCCCCCAAACGGGGUCUCCGGCACGAGGAAAGAUGGGUCUCUGCUGCAUUGUGUGGAACAGGAGUAUUUCCUUUGCACCCAUCUGAUCAGGACCGGUGUGUGAAACCUACACUAUUCUCCUUCUUUCCCAUGCUCUCUAAAAAAAAAAAAACUUCAAAUAGCUGAGGAGAACUUGCACAGCAGCAAGCCAAGGGCCAUGAACAGCAGCAGGAAGCAGCAGGAUGGCAGCAGGAAGCCUGCAGAUCCAGGCUGUGCUGACACAGUGCUCUCCUCGAGGCCCAUUCCUUUAUGACUGGUGAAAUUUCAUUUCUUGUCUCAAAGAGGUCAGCAAUACAAACAAUUUCCAUUGAAAAGAUGCAUUUUACUUGUAAAGUAGCCUCUGUAUCUACAGUGUUGGACUUCAGAGAUGGAAGCUGUGUAUCAACUGAACUAGCUCUGUCAUACUGUUUACUCAGUUAUUUGGAGAGUAUGGUGAUGGCUACACCUCUGCAGAUGUCUGGCUACAUCUCUGUUUAUGUAGAUUUGACUAGAUUACAUGCUGCAUUGAUCACUCUACUGAUGACCCAUGGAUGACUUGGACAUUGUCUACUGUAUUGCACAAAGUUGAGAUUUUAUCUCAGUAAAGUUUCAACUGACUUGGUCAAGGCCUUGGUUCAAAGAGGACUGGCAGCCACGGAACGACCUCACCAAGGCUUCCAGGACUUCUAGUCACGUCAUUAAUGAAGACCUUUUGAACGUUUUGGUCUUCUGCCUUCCCUGUGAAGAGGAAUAAUGAUCCUGCCUUUGAAAAAUGUUUUGAAAUUGUCAGGGAUUUAGAUAUUAAUCAUUCUUAUGCCUCUUUAGAAGCAGUAAGAAAUGAAACAGCAUUUACAGAAAGACUGUGUUUUAUUAUAUUUACAACAAUGGAACUGGAAUAUAACCUUUUUAUUUAAAAAUCAGGCUGCAGAUUAAGUUUUGAUUGCAGUAUUUUGCACUGAAAAUAAGAAUAAUGGAAGCAAUUAAGUAUUCAUAUUCCCGCUCUCACACAAACACCUUCCAUGGUGAGCCUGUUUAUGCAACUGCGUGUGCCAUACAAUUGUUUUUAUUACCUUCUUAUAAAACAGCCUGUAUAAAACACUUUCUUUUUGAUUGUUUCUGUGCGUAUUGUUGAGCGUGUUUGCAUUCUAAAGGGCUUUGCCUCAUUAAAGCAAUUACU